UUAGGGGACUAGAUUGGAGCUGCUAACUCUGAUCGGGGGGAUUCUAUCCUCCUCUUCUA
rnacentral:tRNA from 1 species